AAGUCGUAACAAGGUUUCCGUAGGUGAACCUGCGGAAGGAUCAUUAACACUUUUAUCCAAUAAAAAAACUAAACGUGAACUUUUCCCCUCCCUAUAUUAAAAAACCUUUGUGUUUUCAAUAUAGGCUAACCUUUUAUUUUAUUUCAAACCACUUUUAAUUUUUUAUAAGUCUUUUUUGUAAGCUAACGCCUACAAAAAAUAAGACUGACUAACUAAAAAUUUUACUUAAGAUGUCAACUUGUUGAUCUCUUAAUUAAUAUUUUUUCUUUACGAAAUAAAUAUUAGUAUAUAAGAACAACUCUUAGCAAUGGAUAUCUUGGUUCUC
rnacentral:misc_RNA from 1 species